rnacentral:rRNA from 1 species
UGAGGAAUAUUGGUCAAUGGUCGAGAGACUGAACCAGCCAAGUCGCGUGAAGGAUGACUGCCCUCUGGGUUGUAAACUUCUUUUACAAGGGAAUAAAAUGAGAUACGUGUAUUUUAUUGCAUAUACCUUGUGAAUCAGCAUCGGCUAACUCCGUGCCAGCAGCCGCGGUAAUACGGAGGAUGCGAGCGUUAUCCGGAUUUAUUGGGUUUAAAGGGUGCGUAGGUGGGCUGUUAAGUCAGCGGUGAAAGUUUGUCGCUUAACGAUAAAAUUGCCGUUGAAACUGGUAGUCUUGAGUAUAGAUGAAGUAGGCGGAAUGCGUGGUGUAGCGGUGAAAUGCAUAGAGAUCACGCAGAACACCGAUUGCGAAGGCAGCUUACUAAGGUAUAACUGACACUGAAGCACGAAAGCGUGGGUAUCAAACAGG